rnacentral:rRNA from 1 species
GUAUUUAUCGCCAAAGGAUUGGCCCGCGUUGGAUUAGGUAGUUGGUGGGGUAAUGGCCUACCAAGCCUACGAUCCAUAGCUGGUUUGAGAGGAUGAUCAGCAACACUGGGACUGAGACACGGCCCAGACUCCUACGGGAGGCAGCAGGUGGGGAAUUCUUAGACAAUGGGGCGCAAGCCUGAUCUAGCCAUGCCGCGUGAGCGAUGAAGGCCUUAGGGUUGUAAAGCUCUUUCAGAUGGGAAGAUAAUGACGGUACCAUCAGAAGAAGCCCCGGCUAACUCCGUG